rnacentral:rRNA from 1 species
AUGGCAAUUGUCCACACAUACGGGAAGCCUAACAUCUUCUUGACCAUGACUUGCAAUCCAAAAUGGGAAGAGAUAACUAAUGAGUUGCUGCCUGGUCAGACUGCGCAGGACCGACCUGAUAUUGUGGCUCGCGUGUUCUAUGGCAAACUAGAGGCUAUGAAGGACAUGUUGUUCAAGAAGCAGAUCCUGGGUGUUGUGGUCGCUUAUGUAUACGUAGUCGAGUUCCAAAAAAGGGGCCUU